GUGUCAUCAGCGUACAGGUGGUAGUGGAAGCCAAACAAAUUUAUGAGUUUGACAAGAGAGGUAGUAUAGAGAGAGAACAAAAGGCGACCAAGAACCAAACCUUGAGGGACCACGACAGACAGGAUGAGGUGGAGGAGGUGUUGUUGGAAAAGGAGACACUGAAUAAACGUUGGGAGAGAUAGGAGGAGAUCCAUGAGAGGGCUGUGUCACAGAGACCAAGAGAUUGAAGAGUCAGGAGAAGGAGGUCAUGAUCAACAGCGUCAAAGGCAGUAGACAGAUCAAGAUAAAUUAGUAUGGAGUAGUGGCCUUUGGCCGCAAUUAGAUCAUUUGUAACUUAUCAGAGCGGUCUCUGGGGUGGAAUCCAGACUGAAGAGGGUCGAGGAGAGAGUUAGAAUUGAGAAAGCAAG